rnacentral:lncRNA from 1 species
GUUCUUCAUUAGUAAGCCACUGGAUAUUUGUGAACUGUCUUAAGCAGGUAAAACUAGCUGAGAAGUCAGUACCCUUCCUUAGCAGACAACUGUGUUGUUCAGCUCAAAGGCUGUGUCAGACACUGAGUCUUCCAGGAGGGUAAUUUAGUAAACUGCUGUGGAGCCUGAUAUAAAUCCUCAGGCCAGGCAAGUGAGGUCAAGUUUGCCUCAAACACUUUUUACUGCAGGUGCCCACCUCUGAAGCAUUAAAAAAAGGAGCUUGGCUUUUCCAGCCCAGUGUGAGAGAGUGACUGCAGACAUCCCCAGCUGCCAGACAGGCCUGGGGGUGUUUCAUCCCUUCCCUGGCAGGCAGCGCUCGGAGGUUUGGCUGUUGUGCUCAUGCAGCCAUCCUAGGAGAGAGAGAGCACAGAAUUACCAGCAGUGUUAGCUGGCACUUACAAGGGCUCACAAGAGACGUGGUGCACAUGUUGGAAGGCCCUGGUACAUGAGCUCUGGAGUGUUGUUAACUUCCAGACUUGCUACAUGUGAUGUUAACCUCAAUCAAACAACAAAAAGCAUCAUCAUUCCAAUUCUUUCUCAAAGCAAGUGAUUUUCCAUUUGUUCAGAGGAUAGACACAGCAUCUGAAAUUAUUUGAGGACAGCUUUCCUUAUCUUCCUUUCUUCCUGAAUUUCAAGGAGAGAGAUCUAAUUUUAAACAGUUUAGUUUUUUCCAACUAGGAGAAUCAAGAAAAGUAUCAUCUGUAAAAAUAAGUCAUAACAUUGCCAUUCAGAUAUUUUUAUUUUUUUUUUAUUAAAAUCAUCCCCUAACACAGCAGGGAAUCUGUAACUGUUAUUUAUUGUUUUGAAAGAUUUUUCCCUCUGGAGUGGAACCUGGGUGACAAAUAGCCAAGAGCUAACCAUAAGAAAUAAAAUAACAAAACAAAAUUCACCACUGCCAAGGUACAUUUUCCCAGGACAUCAGGCUUGGCAGGAAUUCUGCCAGUUCAUGGCCAGCAUUUCACCAUAGUGAACUUUGGCUUUCAGCACAUUCCUGCCCCUCCACAUACGAGGAUCACACCAGCCUUGUGGACAAAGCAGGCUGGAACUGGCAACCUUCUCACUCAUAAAGACCAGGAUCCAGUUCCCAUGACGAGGACAGGCAGGGGCUGGGAGAGAUCCUUUGGAGAGGACCACGACAUGAACAUCCAUGUAACAAAUGCUUGUAGGAGCUGCAAGGUGCAAUCCUCCACAGGCCAUUUCCAGCAGAAAAGUAAGGAAAUUCGUCCCUUGAAGGAGGAAAAGUUUUCUGCAAGACCAGCUUGCUGAACCAGCUUGAACAAACAGCAGUGCUGUCUCUGGGAAGGGAGGAGACGCCCUGCAGCCAAGGCCAGAGCAGUGCAGCAGCCACAGCUGGCUCAGCCAUGAGCUGCUGGGGCACUGCUCCUCCCUCCAGAACGGGAGGGGGAUGCAACAUCUGGCUUUGCAGAGUUGAUUCUGUGAUACAGAUGCCCACUGAACCUUAGGUGUCAAAUCAAACAAAGUUAAUAAACUCAUAUUCACAUAGGUGGCUAGACUUAAU